AAACUAAUUUACUUUGGCGGCAUUUCAUCUAAUUAGAGGAAUUUGUCAUUUAAUCGAUAAUCCACGAUAAAUUUCACUUUAAUCCUAUAUUUAUAUACCGCCAUCUUAAGAAUCAAUUUAAAAAUAUUAUUCCCAACAAGAUAUAAUACGUUAGGUCAAGGUGUAGUUUAUAUUGAAGCAUAGAUGAAUUACAUUAAAUAAAAUUUAAGGCUUACAUAUCAAAAUUUAUAUAAAAAAGGAUUUAAUAGUAAUAUUAAAAUAAUAAUUUAUUAUGAUCAAGAUAACAAAUGUGCACACAUCGCCC
rnacentral:rRNA from 1 species